rnacentral:rRNA from 1 species
CCUACGGGUGGCAGCAGUGGGGAAUAUUGCACAAUGGGCGAAAGCCUGAUGCAGCGACGCCGCGUGAGGGAUGAAGGACUUCGGUAUGUAAAGCUCUGUCAGCAGGGAAGAACAGUCCGGUACCUGAUCAAGAGUCCAUGGACAACUCCGUGCCAGCAGCCGCGGUCAUACGGAGGGCGCCAGCGUUAUCCGGAUUUACUGGGUGUAAAGGGAGCGUAGACGGCAGGACAAGUCAGGAGUGAAAUUCCUGGGCUCAACCUGGGAACUGCUUUCGAAACUGGAAAGCUAGAGUGCAGGAGAGGUAAGUGGAAUUCCUGGUGUAGCGGUGAAAUGUGUAGAUAUCAGGAGGAACACCAGUGGCGAAGGCGGCUUACUGGACUGUAACUGACGUUGAGGCUCGAAAGCGUGGGUAGCAAACAGGAUUAGAUACCCGGGUAGUC